CUUUGUGUGCGGGCGAUUAGGUGACUGACUCUGAGGGUGCGAGUUCGAAUCCCGGAUGGGGCUCAACUGAAAAAAAGUACUAGAAUUUGUACUUUAUAACAUAUGUUACAGGCUUUAUAUGUCAGGUGAGCUACUGAGCUUUGGGAUCUAUUUCUACUGCCUAAUUUUUGUAUUUUCUUAAUAUUCUAUUUGAUAAAUGUAUUGGUUGUUGUGAUUACACUGCCAUGUUACACAGUGCCAGACUGGGUUGUUACGAGUACCAGGGAUUUGGCUGCUCUUAGCAGUAUUCCAGCGAUAUCACAGCAGGGACACCAGAUAUGGGCAUUGUAGAGAGUCAAACCUGGGCCUUUGGUAAAUGAGCAAACGCUUAAACCACUAGGCCACCGCUACCCUGUUUUGCUGUGAAGAUUGUUAUGUUCUUGGUCAGUCUAAGUAAACUUAGACUCAGUAUUAUUCGUAACACUGCUAUAUAGCUGUUUAGCAAUGUAACAAAUAAUUCUGAGCCUAAGUUUACUUAGACUGGUUCUUGGUUACAGAAGGAUCUUCAGGAUAGUGGCCACUAUCAAACAGAUUAUCUUUCAUCCACACAUCUAUUUCUAGGUAAAUGUUUCUGUAAAGUCAGUUUUCUGUAACAUUUGAUUUUAACACGUACAUUCUCUUUCUUUGAUGCCUGUCAGUGAUGGAGACAUCACAUGGUUGUGUGCACGUGGAAUUACAGGAACCUACAGGACGGCUGAUACCAUCCUGCUACUAAAGUCUUCCCUCUAACAUGGCUUCAAAUAACUUAGAAUGCACAUUUAUGUAAAGUAAUUUUUCUUGUCAUAAUUUAUUAAUAGGUGACCAAAGUGUCCCUUUGAUUCAAUUAAAGAAAAUCAGUUAAUCCACAUAGAUAAAUAUGUUUUUAUUUUAUUGCUUAAGUUUUAGUUUAUUUCUGGCAUUAACACCAGCUCAAAAUAGAAUUGAAUCCAUUAAAACUUCAUUUGCUGAAUUCAGUUUAACUUGAAUUAUUUCCUUAAUAACUUGCAUUUUCAAGUUAGUAAGCUAAAUUUUCAAGAUAGCAUAAGAAAUUUUUAAAAUAUUAUCCAGAAUUUCCAAGUAUUACCUUGAGUUUUUAAGAAGGUGAAAACAAUGUUAUGGACCUAAUAAGCUUCCAUAAUUUCCAAUGCCUCACCUCUGGAAGGCUAUACUCUGAUGGCAUGUCAUGUCAUGAUAUGUACAGUGAUCUGUUUCUGGGGGGAACAACAGCCAAUAUAAACCAUAUGCCAAGUCUAUUGUCUUGGAGGAGUUGGACAUUAUCAUAGUGUUGGCAUCAAAGCCAGAUCUGGCUCUAAAUUGUGUUUAUUUAAUGUGUGUAUUUAACCAGUUUUGUUGUAGUAUUUAUAUCACUUGUCAGAAAUGUGUCAUGUUUUGAAUGAUGCUUGUUAAUGUUAGUUAAGGCCAGACCAAUUUUAGUUCUUGUUUUAUGGAUCUGCCAGUCGUAUUUUUACAAGAAUAAGAAAAAAUAUAUAAAUUAAUUUUCCACUCUCAAACAAUAGAAUCCUAAUGUUUUAUAGGCCAAAAAUGUAAACUUAAAAGAACAUUUUAUUAUUGUUUUUUGCCCCUUAUACACCUAAUAAAUUGCCAAAAGUAAAAUACUUUUAAUAUUUCGAAGGAAUAUUACUGAUGAUUUUAAAAAAAAUUCCCAUCCUGCCUUUAAGUUUUCUGAGGACAAAAAUCUGUAAAACAAGAAAUAAAUUGGUCUGGCCUAAAGGGGCUUGUCUGUUUAAAAACCAGCCCACAACUUUAAAGUGUGGUGUCUGGAAUCAACAAAGAGACCAUCUCAGUCCAAGGUUGAAGUAGUGGCCAGAAAAAAUACCAACCAAUUAUACCACAUCGUUACAUUUUGUUGUGUAAAUAAGAUAAAGAUUAUGAUUUUUUUUGCAGUUUUACUUUACAUGAUGAAAUAUUCAAGCUUCAAGCAGGUAACUCCUGCUGACAGGAAAUGUAAAGAGUUUGUUUGAAUUAUUUUAAAAAGGUUGCUUAUAAAAGAUUUUUUUAUAUACGAAAUUUGGAUGCAAAUUUGAUGAUUAAUUGGGCCUAAGUUAACUCAAUUGUAUUCUAACUUGGUCCAGAUUGCUAGUUCUGUUUACUGAAGUUAGAUAGUGAAGUUGAUCGUUAAAAUUUCCUUACCAUGGCUGCGUGGUUUUAAUUUCCUGUUAAUUCCAGUGAUGAAUAGCUACAUAAUAUAUCAGUAUGGGAAUAUAAUUAUCAGAAACAACUGAUUUGUCACUAAACAAUUUUCAUUUCUGUAACUAAAAAAUUCUUUCAAAAAUACACAUGAAAACUAGUAAAUAUUUCCUGUUUAACAUGACCAUCGUAGCUUCGGUAUUAUAAAGAAAUCUCUGUAUGAAGAACAGGAAGUCCUACAGUAUUAUACUAUAGUUAAGGAUGCUGUUUUAGCCAGGAACAAGAUGACGCAUGUGGCCUGUUCUUUACACUGAUGGUUUUAGCUGUGUCGUGUGACACGACAUCUAUGUUUAUAUUUUGUAAAGAUUGACAACUAUCCUGCAACCAUGUUCAUGUUUUAUUAUGUUUUAUCAUUUGCUCAGAAAGGAGAUGAAAAUAUAAAGUGCUCAUAAAAGAA